AUGCUCAAUCAAUAUUAUUGAAUAAAUGAAGUGCAUGAAUGAUGUAAGCAAAAAAACUAACUCUAUUAUUUCACAUACAAAGUGAAACUCCAAAGACCAUAAGCCAAAUCACCUUGAAAAAUUUGUUGCCUGGAAGAUGGUGGACCUAUUAUUUCCAGCGCGUCAUCUCUGCAGUGUGAGCUUCAGUGCACACUGGGGUCUUCCGGGGACCGAUCGGAUGAGUUCUCUUCUCGUUUCCCUGCCUGCUCACUGGAGGAAACUGCGGAUCUGCCCUCUGGUGACAUCUUGUCCUUGCAGCACAGGAGCUGCCUGCCAGACCUUCCGCACGGAGCUGCUUCCUUGUCUGGGCCCUCGCCUGCCACCGCCCCUGCACCAGCAAUAUUUAAUAACAUGAAGAAUACAAAGACUGGUGAGAUGAGUCACUGUUGUGAGUGACCAGCCAAAUUGAAAUCUCCUUUAAUGGAAAGGCCUUGAAAUAAAGGAAUCCAAAUGCA